rnacentral:rRNA from 1 species
AUUGAACGCUGGCGGCAGGCCUAACACAUGCAAGUCGAACGAGUGGCGGACGGGUGAGUAAUGUCUGGGAAACUGCCAGAUGGAGGGGGAUAAGUACUGGACACGGUAGCUAAUACCGCAUACCAUCGGAUGUGCCCAGGGGGGAUUAGCGAGUAGGUGGGGUAACGGCUCACCUAGGGGACGAUCCCUAGCGGGUCUGAGAGGAUGACCAGCCACUCUGGAACGGAGACACGGUCCAGACUCCUACGUGAGUCAGCAGUAGGGAAUAUUGCACAAUGGGCGAAAGCCUGAUGCAGCCAUGCCGCGUGUAUGAAGAAGGCCUUCGGGUUGUAAAGUACUUUCAGCGAGGAGGCGUUACUCGCAGAAGAAGCACCGGCUAACUCCGUGCCAGCCGCCGCGGUAAUAC